rnacentral:rRNA from 1 species
UACGGAGGGUGCGAGCGUUGUCCGGAAUCAUUGGGCGUAAAGGGCGCGUAGGUGGCGGGACAAGCGUGCGGUGAAAGCUCGGGGCUCAACCCCGAGUCGGCCGUGCGAACUGUCUUGCUUGAGCACUGUAGAGGCAGGCGGAAUUCCGGGUGUAGCGGUGGAAUGCGUAGAGAUCCGGAAGAACACCGGUGGCGAAGGCGGCCUGCUGGGCAGUUGCUGACACUGAUGCGCGAAAGCGUGGGGAGCAAACAGG